rnacentral:lncRNA from 1 species
UGGAAAGCAGACUUCAAUGGUUUUACCAAAAUGGAUUUCUUUGGACACACACCUCUUCUUCAUUUACUCAGUGGAGAAAAAAUAAAUAAAAGAAAGCAGGUCUGGGAAGAAUGAGAAAGGGUGGCAAGAGCUAACAUGCUGGCAAACAAAAAAAUGUAUGGCAUUUUAUCAAAAGUGACCUGUGUGCUCCUGUGUAUUUCUCCUGGAAUGAUGCCUCCUGGGUUUCCUGUAACAAAGAACCUCAAGCUUCUGAGGAGAAGUUAAUGUUCUUUCUUUUGAAGACUGUGAGUUUGUGAGAUCACACACCAGGUAACUGAAACCCGAAACAUCAUAAAGGUGUUUUCAAAACUCAGGCAUUCUGUGAAUGAGACAUGAAAUGAAUUUCAUACGCAUCAGCUCCCCAGAGCCUUGUCACAAUAGAUAAGGCCAAAUCGAAGGAUGCGGCAUUACUUCUUG